rnacentral:rRNA from 1 species
UGGGGAAUAUUGCGCAAUGGGCGAAAGCCUGACGCAGCAACACCGCGUGAGGGAUGACGGCCUUCGGGUUGUAAACCUCUUUCAGCUCCGACGAAGCGAAAGUGACGGUAGGAGCAGAAGAAGCACCGGCUAACUACGUGCCAGCAGCCGCGGUAAUACGUAGGGUGCAAGCGUUGUCCGGAAUUAUUGGGCGUAAAGAGCUCGUAGGCGGUCCGUUGCGUCUGCCGUGAAAACCCGGAGCUCAACUCCGGGCCUGCGGUGGAUACGGGCGGACUAGAGUCCGGUAGGGGAGACUGGAAUUCCUGGUGUAGCGGUGGAAUGCGCAGAUAUCAGGAGGAACACCGGUGGCGAAGGCGGGUCUCUGGGCCGGAACUGACGCUGAGGAGCGAAAGCGUGGGGAGCGAACAGGAUUAGAUACCCCUGGUAGUCCAUGCCGUAAACGUUGGGCACUAGGUGUGGGUCUCAACCAACGAGAUCCGCGCCGUCGCUAACGCAUUAAGUGCCCCGCCUGGGGAGUACGGUCGCAAGACUAAAACUCCAAAGGAAUU